rnacentral:lncRNA from 1 species
CGCAUGCCCAAAACUUUCCUCUCUUUCUCUCUUACAUGGAAUGUGGUUGUAGAUCAAGUCAAAGUAGGAAUUAGUUUGGAUUUCAAAUUCUAUGAGAUAGAGUUUUAGAAAACUAAAACUCUUUUCUUAUGGCACUGAUUUUAUCCAAAUUUUUUUAAAAUUUUUAUGACUUUUAUGGCACAUAUUGUGCACCCUUUGCUGGUGGUCCAUGGUAGAAAAAGGAGGGGACGCCCAAGAGUUGGACGCCCCUUGUCUUACCUUGUUUGGAUAAUCCUUGACUAGGUAUUUGACUUAGACAAAGACUCUUCAUAUCUCUCUAUUUAAAAUGAAUUUUUUCAUAAAAUUUUCGUGGAUCAUAGAGCAUUGAGAGACCUUUGAGGUGUCCAAAAAUUAAGGAGAAAGAGUCUUGGGGCAUAGAGAUCUAAUAGACACAAAACUAGGUGUCUGGGUUAGAGCAAAGAGAAGAAGAAGAGGGUCUUCUUCUAGAGUUGCUAGAUUCAUCUCUUUCCUUCCUCCAUCUGUAAGUUUUCUGAGAGUGUCUCAUCUAAAACUCCUUCUCCUACUUCUUAUCUUUGGAAGAGUCCAAAUCAAGAAGAAGGAGGUAUCUGAUCGACCAUCGAAGAAGGAUCAGUGCAGUACUAACAUACUGUGCUGAUUUCUUGGACCUGGACUUCUGAUCGUGAUUUGUGGGCUCGUGUAGACGACUCCUAAAGGCCGGAUACAUGUGCAGCUCGCAACACAUCCUCAAGCUCGGAUCAGCAAAGUUAGAACGUCUAACUUGCAAGGUAAUAGAUCUGAUCUAUUAUAUUUUACAUACAUUAGAUGUAGUAUAGCAACAUGUUGAUAUGAUCAACAUGUAGUUCUUGCUCUUUAUAUUUUAAUUUUUGAUUUAAUGCCAUGUAAUAAUCAUGUUAUAGGAUCUUAGAUCUAGAGAUUCUCUGAUUUUAUAAGAUAAAUUUUGAUUUAUUUUAAUCUUCUACUGUCUGAUCUUGAAAAAGUUUCAAGAUCUAACCCUGAAAUCUUAGAUCUGGUUCCUUCAAAUUUGAUAUGCUAGCAUAUUGUAUUAACCCAAGUUCCCAAAUUGAUUUAGAUCAAAUUGUUUGAGCUAACCUAUACCAGUUGGCUUUGACCUAAUGGGAUUGGAUCAAUUUGGAUUGGAUCUUUAUCUAACUUAGAUCAGUUUCAAGUGGAGUAGGAGUCCUCUGUGCCCACCAGAACCCACACACAAAAAUAAAUGCCGCCCUUCUUUUUUUUGGCAUGUGAAGUAAAAAGUCCUUAAAGAAGGCUCUUAACUAACACGCAUUGUCUUAAAUUCCCGAUCAGAAAUCCUAUGUUUUGUCACCAAAAUUCAUUGAAUUUUUUAUGACAUGUAGAAGACUAAGAGUUCUUCUAUUUCAAGUAAUUAGAUCACCAAAAAUUUACUCGAUGAAUUUAUUUGGUGCAUGGGAAGUUGGAGCACCAAAGGUUAGCGCCCUAGGAUGUGGUGAGAUUUUCAGCAAGUGUUGCUUGAGUGCCCUAGGAUUUGAUUUUUCUAUGUGUUGGAGUCAAAAAUCAAAUCUUAAGUUGCAUGACAUCUGAAGAGUCUCUUCUUGGUAUCAUUCUGGUGGUAAGAUUGAAAGCAACUGAGCUUUGGUGCGAUCAUGACAUAAGUUUGAAGUCGGUAGUAUUCUUAAAAAGACAAGGCUGCGGCAGCGCAUCGGUUGGGAAGGACCUUGGUCAUCUUCCAUAUGGAUCACCGUUGGAGAACUUCUAUCUUGGGGUCUUGUGGAUAGCACCAAUGUGCCACUUUUUUAUUUUGAUGAAAGUAUAAAAUUCUAUCCCUAUGUAUGCUUGUUUUUGCUUUGAUCGAUAUCGGCAAGGUGCUUCUAGAGUUUGGAUUCUGGCUCGAUAGUUUUAUUUAAUAAAGCUACUGCUUUGUAUGAUUUUAAAAUUUUAAAAAUUAUUUUCUACUAUGUGGCUAGAAUACAAUAGUAGUAUCAGAGCCACUCUUGUCUAAUUCGAUCAAACAAGUAUAAUUUGAUAGCAUAGAAUCAUUCUUAUUCAUAUCCUGCCAAAAAUGUAGCAUUGUUUUUAGCAUUGAUUCUUCAAACUGAAAAUUUAUUUUUGACUUUUAGUGAAUCAUG